rnacentral:rRNA from 1 species
UACGUAGGGGGCAAGCGUUGUCCGGAUUUAUUGGGCGUAAAGAGCGUGUAGGCGGUUUGGUAGGUCCGCUGUGAAACAUCGAGCUCAACCUCGAGACGCCGGUGGAAACCAUCAGACUAGAGUCCGGAAGAGGAGAGUGGAAUUCCUGGUGUAGCGGUGAAAUGCGCAGAUAUCAGGAAGAACACCCGUGGCUAAGGCGGCUCUCUAGUACGGUACUGACGCUGAGACGCGAAAGCGUGGGGAGCGAACAGG